UCUUAUGGAUGAGCAAAGAAAGUGGUCUCUUGAGAUGGAAUCUAUUUGUCAUGAAGAUGCUGUGAA
rnacentral:pre_miRNA from 1 species